rnacentral:misc_RNA from 1 species
ACAAACCUCUGAUACAGUGUAGAAUGUUAUUUUACCUUUUGCGGUCACACGCAAUCAAUACAACUUUCAACAACGGAUCUCUUGGCUCUCGCAUCGAUGAAGAACGCAGCGAAAUGCGAUACGUAAUGUGAAUUGCAGAAUUCAGUGAAUCAUCGAAUCUUUGAACGCACCUUGCGCCCCUUGGCAUUCCGAGGGGCACACCCGUUUGAGUGUCGUGAAAUUUUGAAAGCGCGAGCUCCUCUCAAAUGAAUCAGUGGGGUCCGCUUUGCCGAUCCUUGACGUGAUAAGAUGCUUCUACGUUUUGGAUUUGGCACUGUCCCUUGGAUGCCUGCUUCUAACCGUCCCAUGGACAAUGAUGGUGCUCCGGUCAACCGCCGUCUACGUUGGCGGGGGGAGGCUGGACCCACAAGAAGAAAAC